AUACUGAUAGCAAAAUGGGUCUCACCUUCAAGGGUUUUGGUAGAACUGAGGGCAAAGGUUUCCUCUUUCUCAAAGGUAUCUCCCACCUCUUCCCAAGCAGCAGCAAAGUUAGGCUUCAGUACUUUCUGAAUAUGGUCAGACACAGUCACUUCGAGAUCUUCCAGCUAGUGGGUAAUAAGCAGUCAGUAAAGAAAAGUCCUUUCUGUUAUAGGGCAAAGAUAAAGGAACUAAUCAAUAUGGUCCUCCGGAGCCUAGAGAAAACUCUACCACCAAAAUAGUUUAAGUUCUGUAGUCUGGAUAAAUCUAAUGUUGUAGCCCUUAGCAAAGGAAAGCAAGAAAAUAGAACAUCUGGCAAGAGCCUCAGAUCAACAUCUGUAGCCCUGAGGUACAGAGUAGUCAUGUUGCACCCACACUUGACCACUGAGUUCUGGGCACACGGUACCCUCUGAUCAUUCACUAAGAGGUUGAUAUUUUUUAAAAAGUUUUCCCUCCAUUCUGUGAAGGCUUUUUAAUCCAUGAUCUGGCUAUAAACUAACAGCUGCUGAAGCAAAAACAAAAAACCAAAAAACAAAACCAACCUCCUCCCCAAAUCAUUUUAAAUAAAACUGAUCUCAAUGAAAA
rnacentral:antisense_RNA from 1 species